AGCCUGAUCUAGCCAUGCCGCGUGAGUGAUGAAGGCCCUAGGGUCGUAAAGCUCUUUCGCCAGGGAUGAUAAUGACAGUACCUGGUAAAGAAACCCCGGCUAACUCCGUGCCAGCAGCCGCGGUAAUACGGAGGGGGUUAGCGUUGUUCGGAAUUACUGGGCGUAAAGCGCGCGUAGGCGGACCAGAAAGUUGGGGGUGAAAUCCCGGGGCUCAACCCCGGAACUGCCUCCAAAACUCCUGAUCUAGAGUUCGAGAGAGGUGAGUGGAACUCCGAGUGUAGAGGUGAAAUUCGUAGAUAUUCGGAAGAACACCAGUGGCGAAGGCGGCUCACUGGCUCGAUACUGACGCUGAGGUGCGAAAGUGUGGGGAGCAAACAGGAUUAGAUACCCUGGUAGUCCACACCGUAAACGAUGAAUGCCAGUCGUCGGGCAGUAUACUGUUCGGUGACACACCUAACGGAUUAAGCAUUCCGCCUGGG
rnacentral:rRNA from 3 species